AUAGUGGUUAGUAUGAAGCAUUCCCACUUUUGAGAAAAGUGCUCCCCUCCCACAAACAGAACUGAAGCCGUCUACUCUAGGGCUGUUAGGGCAUGUUUGGGGUUCCUUUUUUUGAGAAAAAAAGGACUUUUGAAAGGAAAAAGGACUUUUCAAAGUGUUUGGCUUUCCUUUUGAAGGCCUUUUAAAAGGCAAAAGUCCUUUGAAGUUUCCAAAAGUCAGGAAAUCCUGACUUUUUUUUCCCAAAAGUCCUUUUCAAUAAGUUAAAAAUAAGCUAAGCCAAACAUGCACUUAAACUCGGUGACAGUGACGAUGGUGGUGGCUGAAUUAGGGUUCCGACGCGGUGGUUCUAAAGCGUUGUUGCGGCGUCGUCACCACAAUCACCAUCGUUUUGCACUUGCAAAACCCUAACAUCGAACACUAGGUCGUCAGAAUCGCCUUGAAUCGAAGACCAGUGGAACACCCGUCUGCAUUUCUACCAACAUUAUCACUACUGUCAACCUCCGCAUCCACACUCACACCUCUGAUAAGAGGAUGAGGAUGAAUGCAUGGAUUCAGGAUUCGUAGAGGAAAGGAGGCUACCCCGCGGUUCGAAUCGACGAUAAGUUCUCCGUUGGUGGAUACAUCGCUCAACGGAAGCUCGGAUGGGGCCAGUUCUCCAAUGUUUGGCUUGCGUAUGAUUCUCAAACAUCUGUAAGUUUUUUGUUCUGUUCUGUUUGAUAUAUGAUCAUGUACAGUGAUAGUUUGCAGGGCCGACUCUAGCCCAAAUGAAAUAAAGCCACUGCUUUAGGCCUCCAAAAUUUUGGGGCCUCAAAUUUUAUAGGUUUGACUUCAGGUUAGACCCAACAUCCCAACUUAUUCAUUUGAAAUUGAUCAACGUUUGCAGUUUCAGUAAGAAAUCCAUCCAUUGCGUAUUAUUCCCAUGAGAGAAAUCUAUUACCCAAUUAGCUAAUCCCCACCUCCCCACUUUGUAUUGAUAAACGAACAGACACUAUUUGAUUUGAUCUAUGGUAUAAAGCAAUCUACAAAGGAGAAGCAUAGGGCCAUCGAAAAUCCAUUGUCCGAUCUAACAAAUAGAACUUCUAAUUCCAUAUCGUGAAGAACAUAAAUGCUUUACCUGUGAGGUUUGUUUUCUUUUUCUUAUUUAUAUUAUUUGUGUAGCCAAUUGGCCCAGUUCGUAACCAUAUAGAUAAUAAUCUAAUUUCGUAGAAGUGUGGAACAGGUGCAAAACUUAACGUUUUCGUUUAGUUGAGUUUGAAAAAUGUUUAUUCUUUUUUACCAUUGUGGUUAGUGAUGGAAUCAUGUCUAAUGUGGGGAGAAUGAAUUUGUAUUAAUUGAAUUUUUCCAACUUAAUGUAUUGCUUAAAUCUUUCUGUGCUCUAAAAUAGUAAAAUGUUAGUCCUUUGAGGUCCUAAAUAUUUCUUUUUGAUUACUAUUAGGCCAUUAAAAUUAAUUCAUUUUAACAUUUCUCACCUUUUGUUAUUGCAAUAUAACAUACAAAUGAAUUGUUAUAGGUUUAAAGAAAUUGGUUGGAAGGAAUAGUUUCAGAUAUUAUACAUCUUAUAAUUGACAUGAAUUCAAGUCUCAUGAUUAGAUUUUAGGACUCACUGUUGCAAAAAGGCAAUCAAGUCACGGUCGACUCAGUAAUUAAACCAAAUGAGCUAGGAUUUGUUAUUGACCCGAACCUAUUAGAAACUGUUAUCGGAUCCGUCUAUUUUGUUAGGCUUAGGUGAGUAUAAAAGGCCCCAAUUUCGAAGUUUGCUUUGGGCCUUUAAAACGGUUGAGCGGGCCAUGAUAGUUUGUUAUGAUUACAUUUAGUUACAAAUUUAUUAGCUUCUGUAGGAAUAUAGAUAUGAAAUGGUCCUUUAAUUAAUGCUUAUAAAAUGUUAGGUGAUUCGUUAUUUCCAAAGGGGAAGUUAUUAUUAAUAUUAUUAUGUUUGUAUCUGCAAAUAGAUAGUUUCCUUUAUGUUUUACUCAUUGUCCUUCAUGGGCUGCUGCAGAGGUUUUUACUAUUCAUUUUUGUUACAAAUCUUUAUUUAUAGUUUUCAUUAUACAUAUUUGUACAAAAAAAAAAAUUAUAGUUAACGAAAGCAAAUGAUAGGAGGAAAAUCAUAUUUUAUAAAAUGAAAAUAAAUAUCAGAUAAGUGUGCUGAGAGAAAUAAUCCUUUUUUUUCCAAUUUACUGUGAAUAAGCAAGCUGUGUAUGGUGACAACAGUUCUUUGGCUCCAGCAAGUGUUUGUAUUGGUAUGUUUUUCAUCACCCAUAUUAUAUAUAUACAUAUACUAAACUAAUGCUCACAUCCAGUCCUUUAUAUACACACUUAAUAAGGAGGCAAAGGAAAAAAACAAAUGAAAAGUCAACACAUGGCACAUGGUACUAGAAUUAGUAAACGAAUGAAAUUCGGAGAACAAGAUAGUUUUAAAGGCGAACAUUCGUGUCUCAUCAGGAUAAAAGUCCAUCAGUUUACGAAUUGAAUGAAAAUCAUUGAAACUUCUAUUUAAAAGAAACAGAUCACUUUAUAAUAUAUAGAGGGGAUUACAAAUGAUUAUAUCCUGUUUAGCAACCAAAAAAAAAAAAAAAAAAAAAAUAAUAAUAAUAAUAAUAAUAAUAAAACAUAUUCUAUAUGAUGAUCCCACAAGAAAUACAUACUAACAACAUGAUACUCCACAAAAUCCCUGAAGACCAAGAAGCAGCCUUUGAAUCAUACAUGUAGUAAGGAUAAGGAUACGGGUCACUGUUUUUGUCCGAAACCACCAGGUCCACGACCACCGCCAGGAGCAGCCGCCUGUGUCGGGAAGUACACGAAUGAUGGAGAUGGAGGACCGCGGUUGUCACCACCUGACGAAAUGUAAGUUGGUGGUGGUGGAGUUACAUCUAGCGGCGAAUCAAAGUAGUAAAAUCUUUCUGGCGGUGGAGCAUUAUGGACCGGCUUUGGAGAUGAUGGUGGCCUCGAUAGAACCGCAGGCGGAGAUGGUAGUGGUUUGAAAGUGACUAGAGGUGGAGAUGGUGGUGUUUUGAACGUGACCGCAGGCGGAGAUGGUGGUGGGUUGGUGGUAGAAGGUGGUGAUGAACAUAUGGGAGCUUGGUUUAAAAAAACGAGCUUAAAGCGUGAGGCGAUGAAGCGCUAGGGUUGUCGCUUUUUUUGCUCUGAGGCGACAAAUCACGUGAAGCGUUUUGAAGCGCGCUUUAAGCUCGAAGCGCCAUUGGUUUGAAGCGACGCUUUAGCCCAAUCAGGUCAGAUUUGGUUUUUUAUUUAGGCCCAAUAGUCUCUAAUUCGGUUUAACUGAGGCCCGCUACUUCUUUACCCUAAAAAAAAAGAACGUUAGUAAACAUCUUCAGCCGCUCCCUCCCUCUUCUCCAUCAACUCUUCAUACUUUCUCCAAUAAUCGACUUUAAUUUACGUUUUAACUAUGUUUUUUAUGUGUUAGGUAUGUUUUUAAUCAUGUUUUUGUGUUUAUUAUUGAUUAACAAGUAGAAUAUGUCAUAUUGAUGUGUACAAAUAUUUUUUUAUUUUUUUUUUAAUUUUGAGUGCUUCGUAUACGUGAAGCUCUCGCUUCGCGCUUGAAGCUUUGCUUAAAGCUUUUGGAACCAAAACGCUUCGGAGCGCCUCGCGCUUUUUUAAACCAAGUAUGGGAGUGCAUGUGCUGCAUAGUGAACCUGUGAGGUUGUCCACUGCUGUUGUUACUCCAGCAAAUACUAAGAGGAAAAAGAGUUGUUCCAUAUAUAAUUAAAUUGUUGGUCACUUUCUUUUGGCAAAUUGUGGGUGUUGAUAUAUGGUUCUUGGGUAUGUGCAUCACAUGUGGCAAAAUCAUAAUACAUGAAGUGCUGUUAGUUCCCAUCUUUCUUUUUACCAGAUGAAAGCCACGUUAGAGAUGUAUGAAAAGAACAAAUGAAGAGGAAUCAAAAUGACGAGAGAAUCAAGUUGUUUUUAUGUUGUUUUGAUUUUGAAACCCAUCAUGCUUUACUUUUAUCCUGAGAUGGUGUUGUUUGUAUUAAAAGUACAAGUAAUUCAAGGACAAACAUCCGUGUUAUCAAGCCGUUGCGCGCCGCAACGCGCGCGGUAUGAACCUAGUUCUAUUAAAAAUAAUUGUAAAAAGUGGUUAGUAAGGAUGUUUCAUGGUUGUAGAGUUAUAGAGAAAAUGAGAGUUAUUGAUGCA